AACGCAUAUUGCGCCCUCUGGUAUUCCGGGGGGCAUGCCUGUUCGAGCGUUUUUAAAUAAAAAUCAAGUUAAUAAACUUGGUAUUGGGCUUUUUUACAUUCAUUAUCCUUUGGAUGGGCCUAAAAAUUAGUGACGAUCCCCUUUCUUAGGUUUUCAAGCGUAGUAAAAAAAUUUUUUUUUCUCGUUUAAAAAAAAAAAAGUUGGGAAUGUCAAAAAUUUUUUUUAAAAAUUAGACCUCGGAUCAGGUAGGAAUACCCGCUGAACUUAA
rnacentral:misc_RNA from 1 species